rnacentral:rRNA from 1 species
CCUACGGGGGGCAGCAGUGGGGAAUUUUGGACAAUGGGCGAAAGCCUGAUCCAGCAAUGCCGCGUGCAGGAUGAAGGCCUUCGGGUUGUAAACUGCUUUUGUACGGAACGAAAAAGCUUCUCCUAAUACGAGAGGCCCAUGACGGUACCGUAAGAAUAAGCACCGGCUAACUACGUGCCAGCAGCCGCGGUAAUACGUAGGGUGCGAGCGUUAAUCGGAAUUACUGGGCGUAAAGCGUGCGCAGGCGGUUAUGUAAUACAGAUGUGAAAUCCCCGGGCUCAACCUGGGAACUGCUAUUGUGACUGCAUGGCUAGAGUACGGUAGGGGGGGAUGGAAUUCCGCGUGUAGCAGUGAAAUGCGUAGAUAUGCGGAGGAACACCGAUGGCGAAGGCAAUCCCCUGGACCUGUACUGACGCUCAUGCACGAAAGCGUGGGGAGCAAACAGGAUUAGAUACCCGAGUAGUCC